GGGGAAAGAUUUAUCGGAGAAGGAUCGGCCCGCGUUAGAUUAGGUAGUUGGUGGGGUAAUGGCCUACCAAGCCUACGAUCUAUAGCUGGUUUGAGAGGAUGAUCAGCAACACUGGGACUGAGACACGGCCCAGACUCCUACGGGAGGCAGCAGUGGGGAAUCUUAGACAAUGGGGGCAACCCUGAUCUAGCCAUGCCGCGUGAGUGAAGAAGGCCUUAGGGUCGUAAAGCUCUUUCGCCUGUGAAGAUAAUGACUGUAGCAGGUAAAGAAGCCCCGGCUAACUCCGUGCCAGCAGCCGCGGUAAUACGGAGGGGGCUAGCGUUGUUCGGAAUUACUGGGCGUAAAGCGCGCGUAGGCGGAUUGGAAAGUUGGGGGUGAAAUCNNGGGGCUCAACCCCGGAACUGCCUCCAAAACUAUCAGUCUGGAGUUCGAGAGAGGUGAGUGGAAUUGCGAGUGUAGAGGUGAAAUUCGUAGAUAUUCGCAGGAACACCAGUGGCGAAGGCGGCUCACUGGCUCGAUACUGACGCUGAGGUGCGAAAGUGUGGGGAGCAAACA
rnacentral:rRNA from 1 species